rnacentral:misc_RNA from 1 species
CUUCUCCCAUCAAUGUCGAAUCUAGAGCUCCGCCCUCUCGGCUCCACCGGCCUCCGCCUCAGUUGCGUCGGCUUCGGCGCCUCCCCCCUCGGCAACGUCUUCGGCCCCGUCUCCCACACCACCGCCCUCGCUUCCGUCCGCCGCGCCCUCGAUCUCGGCAUCAACUUCUUCGACACCUCCCCGUUCUACGGCGGCACCGUCUCCGAAUCCGUCCUCGGCCGCUGCCUCGAGGAACUCGCCGUCCCCCGCGACCAGAUCAUCAUCUCCACCAAGUGCGGACGCUACGCUGACGGCUUCGACUUCAGCGGCGAUCGCGUCACCAAGAGCAUCGAUGAGAGCCUCGCCAGGUUACGGGUUGACUACGUCGACAUCCUUCAUUGCCACGACAUCGAGUUCGG